CUGCAGGUCCUCGAGCUGCUGCUGCUGCUGGGCCACCGCUGCCUGCAGCGCCCUGUUCUCCCCUGCAGGGAGCAAAGGCAACGGGGACAAGGGUGACGAGGGGAUGGGAUCAGGGUGAUCCAGGGGAUGGGAUCAGGGUGUCCCAGGGGAUGGGAUCAGGGUGAUGAGGGGAUGGGAUCAGGGUGAUCCAGGGGAUGGGAUCAGGGUGUUCCAGGGGAUGGGAUCAGGGUGAUCCAGGGGAUGGGAUCAGGGUGACCCAGGGGAUGGGAUCAGGGUGUCCCAGGGGAUGGGAUCAGGGUGUUCCAGGGGAUGGGAUCAGGGUGAUCCAGGGGAUGGGAUCAGGGUGUCCCAGGGGAUGGGAUCAGGGGUGAUGAGGGGAUGGGAUCAGGGUGUCCCAGGGGAUGGGAUCAGGGUGACCCAGGGGACGGGAUCAGGGGUGAUGAGGGGAUGGGAUCAGGGUGUCCCAGGGGAUGGGAUCAGGGUGACCCAGGGGACGGGAUCAGGGUGUCCCAGGGGAUGGGAUCAGGGGUGAUGAGGGGAUGGGAUCAGGGUGUCUCAGAGCACUGUACCAGGGUGUCCCAUAGGUCAUUGCCUGCACCCGCCCCCCCGCACCCCUUUUCCUGCUCCAGCCCC